AUAUGUUAUAAUUGAACACAAGUGACAAAUUAAUUGUAUAAACUAUUUGGAUGAUGUGUUGACUUCUAUUUUGAUUGGUUUGUGUCUCCAACAGUUACAGCAAGCUCUUGGUUUGACCAUGUUAGAGGCUGGUACAUGCACAAGGAUGAGUUCAACAUUCUCUUCCUAUCCUAUGAAGAAAUGAUUAAGGUGGAAUCUAUUAAUUUUUUACAUUUCACAUACAGUGUCAUGAACAAGAACAAGCAGAUGAAAUGUAGGCACACCCUAGAAUUAUACUUAUGGAAGUGCUGGCAUUGGUGAGAAGGAACCUGUUUUUUUACAUUACACAGAGCUUGUGAAAAUGAUGAAAUACAUGAAUUAAAUAAAGUUGGAGAAAGCUUUCAUCAUAAAACUGAUAGAUUGCUUUUAGGUUUCAUUACCAAACCUUUCCAAGAUGUUUGGCUGGUUUGAGUUGACUCAUCCCUACGCUUUGGAAUUCUCAGCUGCAAAUUUGAAAACUCCAAGCAAAACUGUAAAUAAAGGCCUCUAAAUUAAGACCAGUCAGUUUGGCCAAAUUUUAUUAGUUUCACUGAGAAACUCACCUGAAAGGCUUCUUGCUGUUAUCUCUUCCCAACCCACUUGAUUUUUCAUACAUUAAUAAAUUUACCAUCUAUUCUCCAUUAGCAAUUUGGGUACAAAUGACUGCCAUAUGCAGGUUUUAGCUCUGUAACCAUUAUGUUCUGUGCAUUACUACAAACAUACUGGCAUUAUGGGUGCAUCCAGAUGAGUACGGUCAUGUGGCAUGACCACAGAUGAGCGCAGCAUGCUGCCCAAGCGUGCGCUGCUCCAUUUUUUUUUCUGUGGGUUUUUUUGAUAUCCAGGAGUCAAAAAAAAACCAUGGGAAAAAAAAUACAGAGCAGAGCACACUCGGGCAUCACGCACUGCUGAAAAGCAGAGCCAGGCUGCCUGGAGCCAUGCUACAGCUGCUGGCGAAGCUCUCCCCAGCAGGAUCACCAAAGCUGCAGCCCUAGGAGGGCCCCAGGACCCCAGGAUCUUAGAACUGCUGUGUUGAAGAUCUGCAACUUGGUAGGGAAGCAGCUGAGUGAUCAGGAGGUAGACAUUGUUGUGGAUUGGGCUACAUUCAAGAACAUGAAAGCUGAUCUCCGGGCAAAUUAUGAGUCCCUUCCUGAAGUUUUCCUGAAGAAAGGCCAAGGGCAUUUUCUUCGCAAAGGUACCACUGGAGACUGGAAAAAUAUAAUGACUGUAGCACAGAGUGAAAGGUUUGACAAGAUCUUUCAGGAGAAAAUGAAAGAUUUGCCCUACAAGUUCAUCUGGGACAUUAAUGAAAUAUAGCACAGCAUAAAGGGUGGAAUAUACUGUAGUGAAUUUUACAUACUCGAACACACACAUUUUAAAAUUAUAAUUUUAUGUCUGAUAUGCAAGCUAAAGACCUAAGUCUUUACCACAGAAAUCUACAUAGCUUUCUGAGGUUUCUAAUAAAACCAAGUUUGUUUCCACAGCUUCUGGCUUCAAUGGUCAUAUAUGGCCUGAUCCACUGACCUGAAGGCCUACAUCAAAAGGAACGAUACGAUGCAGUUAGAUCUUUUUUCUUUUGAUUUUCAGGUCUAUAAUGCCAGUUAUGAAAAGGGAACUGUCUUUCUGCUCUGCUUAUCA